rnacentral:rRNA from 1 species
UACGGAGGUUGCAAGCGUUGUUCGGAAUUACUGGGCGUAAAGGGCGUGUAGGCGGUGUGGUAAGUCAGAUGUGAAAGCCCUGGGCUUAAACCAGGAAGUGCAUUUGAAACUGCCAUGCUUGAGUAUGGGAGAGGAGAGUGGAAUUCCCAGUGUAGAGGUGAAAUUCGUAGAUAUUGGGAGGAACACACGUGGCGAAGGCGACUCUCUGGACCAAUACUGACGCUGAGGCGCGAAAGCGUGGGGAGCAAACAGG